UACGUAGGGGGCAAGCGUUGUCCGGAUUUAUUGGGCGUAAAGAGCGUGUAGGCGGCUAGGUAGGUCCGUUGUGAAAACUCGAGGCUCAACCUCGAGCUGUCGAUGGAAACCAUCUGGCUAGAGUCCGGAAGAGGAGAGUGGAAUUCCUGGUGUAGCGGUGAAAUGCGCAGAUAUCAGGAAGAACACCCGUGGCGAAGGCGGCUCUCUGGGACGGUACUGACGCUGAGACGCGAAAGCGUGGGGAGCGAACAGG
rnacentral:rRNA from 1 species